UCUCUUACGAGAGGCAGCAGUGGGGAAUUUUCCACAAUGGGCGAAAGCCUGACGGAGCAAUACCGCGUGAGGGAGGAAGGCUCUUGGGUUGUAAACCUCUUUUCUCAGGGAAGAAUAAUGACGGUACCUGAGGAAUAAGCAUCGGCUAACUCCGUGCCAGCAGCCGCGGUAAUACGGAGGAUGCAAGCGUUAUCCGGAAUUAUUGGGCGUAAAGCGUCUGCAGGUGGAUAUUCAAGUCUGCUGUCAAAGACCGGGGCUUAACCCUGGAAAGGCAGUGGAAACUGAAGAUCUAGAGUGCGGUAGGGGCAGAGGGAAUUCCCAGUGUAGCGGUGAAAUGCGUAGAGAUUGGGAAGAACACCGGUGGCGAAAGCGCUCUGCUGGGCCUCCACUGACACUGAGGGACGAAAGCUAGGGGAGCGAAUGGGAUUAGAUACCCCAGUAGUCCUAGCCGUAAACGAUGGAUACUAGGCGUAGCUUGUAUCGACCCAAGCAGUGCCGUAGCUAACGCGUUAAGUAUACCCGCCUGGGGAUUCCCCCCCCGGUGU
rnacentral:rRNA from 2 species